GACAGAGGGUGCAAACGUUGUUCGGAAUUACUGGGCGUAAAGCGCGUGUAGGCGGCAGGGCAUGUCGGAUGUGAAAUCCCGUGGCUCAACCACGGAAGUGCACCCGAAACUGCCCAGCUUGAGUCUCGGAGAGGAAGGCGGAAUGCUUGGUGUAGAGGUGAAAUUCGUAGAUAUCAAGCGGAACACCGGUGGCGAAGGCGGCCUUCUGGACGAUGACUGACGCUGAGGCGCGAAAGCGUGGGUAGCAAACGGG
rnacentral:rRNA from 1 species